UAAUCCCAUCGUCCAUCCGCCAUCUCAUCUGAUCUCAUCCAUUGAUCCUCCUCGUUGUAGGAAAUCACCACCAAUCCCACCGAUUCCUCUCCACCGCUCUUUCCGCCCGCGCGAUGAGUCCUCCGCGUGAAUCCUGCCACCUCCUCGCUCCGCUCGAAUCCCCGCUGCUGCCGCAGUGCACCACUGGACCAGCGCCAAUCCCCGCCGCCUCCUCGCUCCUCCUCUCUCUACUUGAAUCCUCGCUGCCGCCGCAGUCCACCGCUGGACCAGCGCCGCCGCUGCCGCGCCUCCAUCGCCGGACCACCUCACUCGCUGCUGCACCUCCUCGAGACUCCCCGCCACACGCCACCGCAUCGUGCCCCUCCGCUCCCAGGCCGGCGCUCACCUCGCUCCUCUGUUCACCAUCGCAGGGGUCGGUGAGCUGGUGAAAGCCCCCGUAAGACCAAGGAUUGUGGCUUCCGUGACGACCCCAACUCCAUUGUGCCCCACGAUUUUGACUCCCUCUGCCUGAACGGUGACCCUUACCCGUCUGAUCUCUGAUUCAAGGAACUCUCUUAUAUUAUUUGGAUUAUGGGAGCUUCCUGUUCAUCUUUGCAAGCUGAUUACUCUGACCACAAUCAAGUCAGGGUGGAUUGUCUGAACAUGGAGUACUGCAAUGGUCUGGUCAACCUAUUGCAUAUUUGCGUUGCAGCUUCUAGCUAUCCCAAUUGAUGUACCCCUUAAAUUAAUCGUGUAUUUGAUUGGGGGAUAUAUGCGUGACUUCGAUUGCCACAUAUAAAAAAAGGGCGGAAAUAUAUCCACACAAACAAGGUACACUAUGCUUGCUCUCAAAUAAAAAAUGAUUCCUUUAUUUAGUGAUUAUGCUCUCCCUCUAGAAGUCAUUAUGUACAAUUCCAUUCGUUUGCAAGAUAUUCAAUGGAAUUUCUAUGUGAAUUAAUUGUUGUGAGUAUGAAGGUGCAGUUGACAAAGGUCAAGGAGAAUUGGUGAACUAAUCAGUACAACAACUAUUUUUUUUCGACCGGAAAUACUGCCAGGACUUUGUCCCGCAGUGUAAUUUUAUAAAAUGAAAAGGUUAUUUACAAAUUACAGAAUAAUAAAAACAAAAAAAGAUCAAAGUAUCACACUGUUUGUAACCAAUCAGAAACAGUCUGUUUUAGUGGAUCCUUCAUUCUGCACAAAUGCAGAAGAACCUCGGCUUUGAAAAAAGCCCUCCAAGAACUGAACGAGGGAAGCUCAUUGCGAAAAAUUUUCCCAUUCCUUUGCUUCCAAAUAUGCCAAGCAGCAAUGAAGAAAACUUCCAAGAAACCUCUCUGAUUGAACCGAAUGCGAGCCAAAACCACCAUCUGAAAAAAAUCCAGGUUAGGAUUCCAUGUAAUCCCAAAUGUUGCCAGCAAAGUUGACUGAAAGGGCAGAAGAAAAAAAGAUGUUCUCUUGUCUCUCUAAUAUUAUUCCGGCAUAAUUCAUAAGUGAGGUCAUCAUUUUCCUUUGCACAAUGUUGCCUAUCCAGCAUAUCUCUUGUGUUAAGUCUGUCUCUGAAUAAAAGCCAAGCAAAAACCUUAAUCUUCAUUACACAUUUCGUUUUCCAGAUCCAGACAAAAGGCCUCGGCACAUGCACAUUUGAGUAUGUGAGCUUAUAAAAUUAGUUGUGUAUUUGUCAGAGUUCUAGAUGAAAGACCAUUCAUGACCAAUGCCGUUCUGCAAAGAGAGAGAAGACCAUUCCUCUUCUAAAACAGUGAAUUCUCCAUAAGCCUGAGUGAUCAGAGGCAGUAAAAAACAAUCCUCAAGAGGAGUAGAACCCAUUUGCUUAACAGAGAGAGUUUUAUCUAAGGCAACCAUAUAUAAAGAUGGAAAAGCAUUGCUUCUUAUCUUAUCAUUCCAAAUGUCAUCCCAGAAAAGAACUGAGGAUCCAGUCCUGAUACGGCAGCUUGAGAUUCCCCUGAAAACAUCAGUCAGAGCCACUAUAUCCCUCCACCAAAAGGAUCCUUUAUUCCAAACUAAAUGUGGCACUUUGGAGUUAUAAUAUGAAUUCCAUAUCAGUUGAACCCAUGGCAGAUCAUGUCCUUUGUAAAAUUUGACUAGAUGUUUAAGCAGAAGCGCUAUAUUCUGAACCCUUAGAUUGAUAACUCCUAGUCCACCUUUAUCCUUUGGUAUGCACACUAGAUCCCAAGAGGCUAGAGAUCUUCUGGUUGAAGUUGGAUUGUUUCCCCUCCAAAGGCAAUUUUUCCUUGCAGUGUCAAUAGCUUUUACCACUGAAACAGUCAGCUGCAAAGAACACAUGUAGUAUGUUGGGAUUGAGGAAAGCACUGAGUUUAUCAAUGUGAGUCUUUCACCAGUGGCAGAAAUUAUGAGCUUGCUGUUAAUCUUCUUUCUACCCUGUCUACCAAGGGUGCAAAGUCCACUACCCUUGGUCUAGUUGUUCCUAUGGGCAAACCCAGAUAAGUAAAAGGCAUUGUGCCUAUGGUGCACCCAAGCAGACCAGCAAAAAGCACUGCAUUCUCAUGAGAUAAAUUAAUUGGGUAAAGACAGGACUUAUGGUAAUUCACUUUGAGGCCAGUAGAGUGUGCAAAAGAAUUCAACAAUGCCUUGAAACAGAACACCUCUCUCUGCGAAGCUUUGAGAAGAAUUAAUGUGUCAUCAGCAUAUUGUAUUACUAGGAAACCCUUCUCAUCAAGUUCAUUAAUUGGCUUGGUCAACAGACCUAAGGAUCAAGCUUUGUUAACUAUUCUCUGCAACAAUUCAGCACCAAGAACAAAAAGCAGUGGUGAGAGUGGAUCUCCUUGCCUAACCCCCCUUUUGCAUUUAAAAGAGUUUCCAGGCACCCCAUUAAGUAGUACUGAAGAAUGUGCCGAAGAAAAAAUCAUCUGUAUCCACUGUAGCCAUUUUUCAGGAAACCCCAUGCAUUUCAUAAUGGAUAUCAAGGUGGAGUGCUCUAUAUCAAAAGCUUUCUCAAAGUCAAGCUUUAGCAAUAUAAUUUCUCUCUUUGACUGUUGGCAUUGAUGAAUAUAUUCAAAAGACCAUGCUAAGCAGUCUUGAAUCGUUCUGCCUUUGAUAAAACCAUAUUGGUUUUCAUGGACCAGUUUGGGCAUUACACUCUGUAACCUAUCUGCCAUCAAUUUGUUUAUGAACUUUAAACUGAUGCCCAUACUGAAAUUGGCCUGUAAUCAUUGACUAUUUCUGGAGAGGACUUUUUUGGCACUAAGGUUAUGUAAGAGAUGUUUAGCGGCUGCAGAUCAGUAUAGCAAGCAUGAAAGUGAGCUGCUAACCUGUAAAAGUCCUGUGAUAUGAUUUGCCAACAUUUCUUAAGAAAAAACCCAUUAAACCCAUCUGGGCCAGGUGCUUUGUCUGAUGGAAUAACCUUAAUAAGGCUAUCCAUGUCCUGAGUGUAGAACUGAUCCACCAAACAAUCCAAGUUUUCCGGAUUAGGGAAGAGAUCCCUCAGAUCAAAGUCCAUUGGAGGCAAGAGUGAAAUCCCCAUUCUGUUUUCGAAACUAUGAAAAAACAGAUCUGCUUUGUGAUUGUAUCCAGUGGCUACUUGCCCAUGCU